GUCUAUGGCCAUACCACCUUGAAUGUGCCCAAUCUUGUCUGACCUUGGAACCUAAGCAGGAUCUGGCCUGGUUAGUACUAGGAUGGGAAACUGCCCUGGGAAGACCAGGUGCCUGUAGGCC
rnacentral:rRNA from 1 species